rnacentral:rRNA from 1 species
AUUGCUUAGUAACGGCGAGUGAAGCGGCAAAAGCUCAAAUUUGAAAGCUAGCACCUUCGGUGUUCGCGUUGUAAUUUGAAGAUAGUUUCCUUGAGUAGUCCUUUAUCUAUGUUCCUUGGAACAGGACGUCAUAGAGGGUGAGAACCCCGUAUGAUUUUGGAUACUACUCUUUGUGGGAUUCUAUCGAAGAGUCGAGUUGUUUGGGAAUGCAGCUCUAAGUGGGUGGUAAAUUCCAUCUAAAGCUAAAUAUUGGCGAGAGACCGAUAGCGAACAAGUACAGUGAUGGAAAGAUGAAAAGAACUCUGAAGAGAGAGUGAAAAAGUACGUGAAAUUGCUGAAAGGGAAGGGCUUGAGGUCAGACUUGGUGUUUAAUGAUUAUCAGUUCUUCUUGGACUGUGCACUCGUUUUUCACCGGGCCAAUAUCAGUUUUAGCGGUAGAGUACCCCUUGAAAUGUGGCUUCCUUCGGGGAGUGUUAUAGUCUUGGGGAGAUCUACUUGCUGGGACUGAGGACUGCGCUUCGGCAAGGAUAUUGGCGUAAUGACCUUAAGCCGCCCGUCUUGAA